UUUGCCUCACCUCAUUGAGUUUCAUAUGUUGCUUAGAAUUUGGCAACAGAUGAAAGGGACCCCUGUGCAGAUUUUUGGAGCUCUUUUUAUGUAGCUCUCUUCUCUUCUCUUCUCUUCAGACCCUUCCCACAUAUCUCCUCUUUAUAAUCUCCAACUGCUUCAGCCUCCCUGAGCUCUGAUGUAUUUCACCCACUCAGUAGUCGGGUGUUCUGCUUGGGUUCCCUCUCCUUGUGAUGCUGUCUGGAAAAUGCUUUCACUAAGAAAGAGCAAUAAUAAUCUUGUGCGGCCUGUUGUUCAAGGUCUGAAAUUGGUUGUUUCAUAUACGUUUUUUUUCCAGUUUUCUAGGUCACAGCAAGAGGGUAUUGUACCCUUGUUUCUUCAUCGUGGACAGAAGCAAAAGACUCCUCUCUUUGUUUUUUUAAAUUUCUUGUGAUUUUUUAAAAAUUGUGGUAAAAUACACAUGCCAUAGCAUUUACAAUCUUUGCCAUUUUUAAGUGUACAGUUCAGUGAUAUUAAGUGCAUUCAUGUUGUUGUGCAACCAUCGCCGCCAUCCAUCUUUAGAACUCUUUUCAUCUUGAAAAGCCGACACUCUGUAUCCAUUAAACAGUAAUUCUCCAUUCUCCCCUAACACCCAACCCCUGGAAACCACUAUUGUACUUUCUGUUCUAUGAAUUUGCCUACUCUAGGUACUUCACAUAAGUGGAAUCAUACGGGGUUUGUCCUUUAGUGACUGGCUUAUUUCACUGCCUUUUUUUUUUUUUAAAUAUAUCAUUUGGUCUUUGCUUGUAGUGUUAGAAUGACGGUUUGCAAUACUCAGAAUGUUUAAGCCAAUGAGCUGAUAUGGUGGAGUGGGAAGGAUUUACAUUGGUAUUUUUUGUUUAUUUUCUUGGUUGGGGGGAUAGACUUUUGUGUGUUUUUAUUCCAUAGCUUGACGUGUAUUUAACCUCCUGUAAGACACUUUAUAUAUGUUAGUGAUGGAGUCUUAAUCUAUAGCACUGCCCACUCAUUUUCUUUUGGCUUAAAAGACAUUGUAUGUUCACUGAAAUUAGUAAUUUUCCAUCUCUCUUAGGUCUUUACCUGCCAGUGAUGCCAUCAGAACUGCCAAAGAUUCAUACUUCUACAGGCCCUUAUUUUUAAACAGCUUGCACAUGAAGAGCUUCAUUGAUUCUCAUGCUAGUCCUUUCCUGUUCUGAUUUCCCAUUCAGGAUAGAAUUUGCCAUUCCUUUGUGUGUGAAGAUGAGUCAACUGGGAAUUUAAAUGAGGCCUUCAGGGUGUGUGCCCUCUAGGCAGGCAUGAUGGAGAAGCUGAUAGAAUCCAUGGUACCAGCCUUCCAAGGUAGAAACAUCUCCAACAAUACUACGUUCAUGUUCAACUACUCGACCUUCAACACAUCCCACCAGGUCCUGGACCAGCUCUUUACUAGAUCCUGUUGGGAAGAGCUGACAUCUGCUGAACAAUACCGAGUCAACCUAUGAAGAAACAUGGAGGAAGUCUGCACUGCUGUUG